rnacentral:rRNA from 2 species
GGGAUUGCCCUAGUAACGGCGAGUGAAGCGGCAACAGCUCAAAUUUGAAAUCUGGCGCAAGCCCGAGUUGUAAUUUGUAGAGGAUGCUUCUGGGUAGCGACCGAUCUAAGUUCCUUGGAACAGGACGUCAUAGAGGGUGAGAAUCCCGUAUGUGACCGGCCCGCACCCUUUACGUAGCUCCUUCGACGAGUCGAGUUGUUUGGGAAUGCAGCUCUAAAUGGGAGGUAAAUUUCUUCUAAAGCUAAAUACCGGCCAGAGACCGAUAGCGCACAAGUAGAGUGAUCGAAAGAUGAAAAGUACUUUGGAAAGAGAGUUAAAAAGCACGUGAAAUUGUUGAAAGGGAAGCGCCUGCAAUCAGACUUCGCGGCAGUGUUCCGCCGGUCUUCUGACCGGUUCAUUCUCUGUCGCGAGGCCAUCAUCGUCUGGGCCCGCCGGAUAAGACCUUAGGAAUGUAGCUCACCUUCGGGGGAGUGUUAUAGCCUAUGGUGAUGCGGCGAGGCUCGGGCGAGGUCCGCGCUUCGGCAAGGAUGAUGGCGUAAUGGUUGUCGGCGGCCCGUCUUGAAACACGGACCAAGGAGUCUAACAUCUAUGCGAGUGUUCGGGUGUCAAACCCCUACGCGUAAUGAAAGUGAACGGAGGUGGGAACCGCAAGGUGCACCAUCGACCGAUCCUGAUGUCCUCGGAUGGAUUUGAGUAAGAGCAUAGCUGUUGGGACCCGAAAGAUGGUGAACUAUGCCUGAAUAGGGUGAAGCCAGAGGAAACUCUGGUGGAGGCUCGCAGCGGUUCUGACGUGCAAAUCGAUCGUCAAAUUUGGGUAUAGGGGCG